AACGAACGCUGGCGGCAUGCCUAACACAUGCAAGUCGAACGGGACCGUCGUGUCUAUGUGGGGACGUGGAGUGAAGACCGGGUGACUUGCACGUGGGUUCGCUGUAACUGCCCGAAGGAGAAGCUAAGACCGGUGAGUGUCAUCGGGGCAACGAGUUAUCGCCUUGGGAUGGGGGCUGGUUGGAUUAGCGAGUUGGUAGGGGAAAAGCGUACCAAGGAGACGAUCCAUAGCUGGUAUGAUAGGAUGAUCAGCCACACUGGGACUGAGACACGGACCAGACUCCUACGGGAGGCAGCAGUGGGGAAUAUUGGACAAUGGGCGAAAGCCUGAUCCAGCAAUGCCGCGUGAGUGAUGAAGGCCUUAGGGUUGUAAAGCUCUUUUACACGGGAUGAUAAUGACAGUACCGGGAGAAUAAGCUCCGGCUAACUCCGUG
rnacentral:rRNA from 1 species